rnacentral:lncRNA from 10 species
CAACCUGUCAGAUGCCACCAUAGCUAAGGAAGACGCCGAAUCAAAAAGCAGCAACGAUCCCUAAUCCCUGUGGGUCAGAGGCACCCCGGAGGUCCUUUUGGGUGACCCUUUGGUUGUCCCAGGCAGUGACCAGCGGCCAGGUUUAUUAUAAAGGACUUACAAAGGACAAAGACGAAGAGACACAUAGGGCAAGGUACCAGGGAAGGGGCACAGAGCUUCCAUGCCCUCCCUGGGCGCAUCACUCUACAGGAACCUCCCUGUGUUCAGCUAUCCAGAAGCUCUCCAAACUCCAUCCUCUUGGGCUUUAAUGGAAGCUUCGCAAGCCCUCAAGAUACAUGAAGCUGUGGGCCCUCAGAAACAUCUGGCUCAGCAGAAAUGACUGCAGGGUCUGCCUCUGAAGCCCAGCGUUUCUACUCCAUUUGGGAUAUUCCACACAGGAAGAGAAUUGGAAAUGCUGGAGGUAAGAGCUUUGGCAAUCGCUCUCCAAAAACCCUUGGAAACUCAAGUCAGCUUUGGCUGGGGAAGGGUACACAUUAGCUAUCUCUUCCAUACCCACCCAGUCCUUCCUGUUUCUGUUCAUUCUUCUUAUUCUUUCUAAUCCACACCUGCUCCCUCAGUCACACUUUCAGCCUCUGCCCUCUCCUGCUGACAGAGGGCUGUGAUCUCCCCUCCUCCCCAGGCUCCCCACGUCAGGCCGUCCUCCAGGAGUGGCUAUCCAUCUCUAAGGGCUUUCCGGACUGCUGCCCAGCAACUUCAACAGGCACCUCUAAUCGACGACCUCUCCUGCCUCCGCUGGUGUAGGGACGCCAGGCUUCUGAACAGCACUGCUCUCCUCAUUUGCCUUCAAGCUGGCCUAUCUUUCCUGCUGGUGGUGGUGGGCAGAGGCAAGGGUGUGGUCAGCUUUGAAAGAGAUUCCAUUCUUGGAAUAAAGUGAUCUAGCAAACAAAGUCUUCAAAAAAAAAAUACAUGAGGGGAAAAACAAUAAGCUGAACAUGAGCAGAAAACACAUUUUCUUGCAUUUGUGGUCAUCUUCUAUGAAGCACAGUAAGAAUCUUUGGAAGCCAGUCUUCAGGGCAAAAGGAUGGAGGAUGCAGCAUCAUGAGUAUCCAGAGAGUCAGGAUGAAGUUGUUCUUGGGAACUGCAGAGACAAGCAGUUCUAUAUGGUUUCAACACAAAUGGGCUAGGAAGAACCCUGGCACCGUGAGCAAUAAUAGUGUCACUACCUUUUUCUAGAGGUGGGAGACAAAAACUUAGCCAGACACAUUCAACAGUAAGACUCAACAAAGAAUCUUCAUAUUCAUGGACAGAAACUAAAUCUGCCACAUUUCUAGUAAGGUUCUUUCUUGGUUAAUUAAAUGUAUUAAUCUCUUCCAAUUUCUAUGUGCUAUUUGUCCUCAUUCCCCAAAGAUUAUGGCUUAGCUCAGUGUCUGCAGGUGAUUGUUCUUCUCUUGUUGCAGGUAAAAUCAUCCACGAUGCCCUCCAAUAUCAUUCCCAAUCAGUUUCCUGUUUCCCCUUCUCUUGCAGAAGCUCUGGAAGCCCACAGAGAACAGAUGCAUAAACACCAUUUACCAGACACAGCUCAGCAAACCCUCUCUCUCUUCCUUCCAGCAGCUUGGUUGUCCUCAAGGAGUUCCUAAAUUUCAUACUUCUGAGGGUUAUAUGGGAUGGUGAGGGGUGGAGGAGAGUAGCACGGAUUGAAAAAUACAUUAAUGUUGGCUGGGCACAGUGGCUCACACCUGUAAUCCCAGCGCUUUGGGAGGCCGAGGCUGGUAGAUCACCUGAGGUCAGGAGUUUGAGACCAGCCUGGCCAACAUGGCGAAACCCCAUCUCUACUAAAAAUACAAAAUUUAGCUGGGUGUGAUGGCACAUGCUUGUAAUCCCAGCUACUCAGGAGGCUGAGGCAGGAGAAUCGCUUGAACCCAGGAAGCGGAGGUUGCAGUGAGCUGAGAUUGCAGCAUUGCACUCCAGCCUGGGCAACAAGAGAGAUGCUCCAUCUUAAAAAAAAAAAGAAAAAUACAUUAAAGUGUACCAAAAUAAAUAUAUGACAGCUUUUAAAUUAUUUUCCAUGGGAAAAAAACUUAUAAUUAGUGACAAUUACUUACUGAGGGCCUGCUGGGCUAGACAUUAUGGACAUUGUGAAAGAUAAAAAGUUCAAGACACAGACUCUGUUUUCAGGAUGUGUACGCUUUAAAUAUGAAGUUAACACAGGGCAGAAAAGUAGAUACACACAUGCACACACAUACCUAUACACACAUACCUACACACACACACACACACACACACACACACAAAUACUCCUCAGACCCAAAGGACGGAGACAUCACAAUGAACAAGAUGAACAAUUGGUAGGAUUUUAAAAGACUAUUUUCUUUUUCAGCAAGGAGGAUGGAGUGGGCAGGUAGGGGAUGGUAUUUAUUUCCCAAGCAAAUCAAUUAGAAAAAAUAUUUGUAUUUCAGUAAAUUUAUUUUUUUCAAUCUUCAGAUAUAAGAAGGCUUUUCCAUGAAAAACACUCUAUUUA